AGGAAUCCUGAUUCCACCACCAGGAGAGAAGAUGGCGAAGUCGCGGCGGCUGAGGACGUUGAGGAGAAGAAUAUCUGGACCGUUCUACGAGGAGGAGGAGGAGGAGGAGUUGGCCAAGUUCGCCGCCCCCAAGUUCCCAGUCAAAUCCCUCCGCGCCGACCAUGGGCAACUAACUAUCAAGGCACAUGUGCCAUAGCAUGCCACAAUGAUUCAGAGAGCUGGCAGCAGAACAGGUUCUGCAUCCAAACCUUGUAAUACAAGAUGCAUAAUGAAAAGCAAAAUAACUAGGUUUUGCGUUUUCUGAAAUAGUGAACUGCAGAGUUAUAUAGCUUGUUGCAGGUGUUUUCUAUGUUGUACCUUUUCUUUUACCAUUAAUUAGUUUUUUUAUGUGCAUUUGAAAUUUUGUCGAGCUUGGGCAUAAAUUGUCAUUUACAUUAUGGUCCUGGUCUCGGACGAAGCAGAGGAAAUAGCCUCAGACUUCACUCAGAUCGGUGCUCUUAUCAACAAUAUUGGAUUGUUCCAUUCCCUCUAUGCAGGUCCUUCCCCUACAACAAUGGGUUUCCCAUAGAGGUGUUUAUAAAUGGAAAUUUUGUUGACAUGCUAAAAUGUGUUUAUCAUGAUUUUGAUUUCCAUGGAUGUUAAUUUGGUGGAUGACCACUUAGAUGUGGACUCAUGAUCUUAUUCAUCACAGCAUUUUUAUCUACUAAAGGACCAUAUACUGAUGACACUGCUUUCCGUUUUCUGGUCGGACAUUUUUGAUGGAAGACCAUUCUGAGUUAGUCAUACAUAAACGGUAUAUUCUAUGGUUGGUUUGUGUCAUUUUCGUCACUAACUUAUCUGCAGCAUGCUAUUCAUUUGAUUGAUGCUAAAAGAGCAUACACUACUGCUGGUGGUCCAAAUAACGUGAGACUUAUGAGUUGCAGUCAUAAACCAGGCAAGAUUUUGCAGAUGGUAUUGGAUGAUUCCUUUGGAGAACAGUAAUCAAAGGAAUGCUUACAGAAAAAAGGAAGGACAAUGGUCAGGGCUCUCUUGUCUGCAAUCAAGCCAGCCUUUGGUGGCCUUCAGGAACCUCAUACAAUGGUUAGGACUAUUACCAAUUCCAUCUAGCUCUAUUUUCACUAGUAUUGUUUUAAUAUGGUUUCAGUUUCAAUACAUUAUUAUUACCUGUUGUGAUUCAUCAAAAUUCCAGGAGAAAUUUCCAAGAUGGUGGUAUUAAUAAUCAUCGU